GGAGAAAAGGCCUUUACAAGCCUCUGCUAAUGUGUACCUAGUUUAUACUAAGUGACCCAUAGGUUGAGGAGGAGGAUGAGGUAGCCAACACUGUUUUAUAUAUAUAUAUAUAUAUAUAUAUUUAUAUAUAUAUAUAUAUAUAUAUAUUUUAAUUGGGGUGGCCCACAAAACAUUGGGACAUAUAAAAAAGACAACUCUGUUCCGCAGAGUAGCUGUUGACAUUAUAGUUGCGCAGGCACUUUGUUGACUCUAGAGAACCUCGGGGCAAUCGCACAUCCCCGUGGCGGCGACUUUGCAUGCAGAUAUCAUCCAUAUCAACUUUCGAUGCCAGUUUCUGCGCCUACCAUGGUGACCACAGGUAAUGGGGAAUCAGGGUUCCAUUCCGUACAGGGACCCUGAGAAACGGCAAGGAAGGCAGCAGGCGCGCAAAUGACCCACUCCCGACGCGGGAAGGUAAUGAC
rnacentral:rRNA from 1 species